ACUGUUGUCACCUGUGGAUGCUGGUGGCCAAUGUGUCUUUUUUUCAAAGAAACGUCAGUCAAGCCCCUGGUCCACACCUAGAGGAGGAAAAACUUCACCAGUGUGAGAUUACUGCCACGUGACUUCUACUCAGCAUCCAGAAAAAGAAGGCAGAAGGAGAAAGGAGGUGACAUUUACCUACUAUUUCCUGUGUGUCAGAACCUGCAGCAAGCAGAUUCUCAGUGCUUCCAGGGAAGAGUGCAGUUUUCCCAACUUGGCAGAUGAGGAGAACCACACAGCCAGUUCAUAAUAGCAACAGUUUGAUGUAACCUUCCUCUGUAAUGAAUAAAAAUGGGCUCAUCAACUAA